GGUAAUUCCUGAUACAUUUGUUUCUCUUAAGAACCUUACCUUGCUUGAUAUGUCUUCAAAUUUCUUCAAGGGGGCUAUUCCUUCAGAUAUUGGGACUUUGCUUCAGUUGAAAUCCUUGAAUCUGUCUGACAACAGCUUUUCUACUCUGAUACCCACCCAACUCGGUAGACUUUCUAAUUUGGUUGAUCUUAACCUCAGUUUCAAUAGUCUAAGUGGAGUGAUCCCUGAAUUAGGAGGAUUACGGAACUUGAAGGGAAUGGCAGUUGGGCAUAACAGUCUGUCUGGAUCGUUGCCUAAUGCUUUGUGGUCGAUGCCUGGAUUGCAAUUCCUAGAUGUCUCUUCGAAUAACCUUACCGGUAUUCUGCCAAAUGUUAGCUCUGUGGUCAGUGCCACUGGUGCAGUGUUUAAUCUUUCUCAUAAUACGUUUUAUGGAAAUUUGCC
rnacentral:misc_RNA from 1 species